AUUUCAUGGAUCUGGAAGGCUGAUAACAGACACGUCGAACAACGAGAAAGAGAUAAUUUCAGUGUUGAGGCUCAAAUACUUUGCAAGACAUUUACUAAACAUCCACUGUGCACCAGAUCCUAUGUCCCCCUACUUCUCAAAGAACAAAGACCAAGAUGAUGCUGGCCUGACCUGCCUCCUUGAAGAAGACCUCAGAAGAAAGGAAGACUCACUAUGCCUGUGCCAGAGUGAUCUCCAAGACUCCUCCUGACCUCACAAGUGGACUCUGAACUCAGCUAAAGUUGUAAAGCCUUGAGCAGUAGAUCACUUGGCUUCUUACUUCCUUCCCUCAUGGGGGAUGACUGGACAGGAUGACCUGAAGGCAUCACCCUCUUUAGCUUUAUAGAUCUAGGGUCCUGGGGGACUCUGUAGAUCUAUAAGAUCUAUAAGAUAUAGAUUUAGUCUGAUUCUCAGGAAAAGAAAAUGGAUGGUGUUAAUAUCUCUCUGCUACGUCCUGGUUUGUAGAUGAAGGGCUGAGCUUUACCUACACCACUGCUCUAUUCUAUUCAAGCAGCACAAAAGUCUGUCAGUGGAAGUAUCAUUGUCAUGAUCUUAGAGCAGUGGUUCUCAACCUUCCUAAUGCUGUGACACUUCAAUACAGUUCCUCAGGUGGUGGUGAACCCCAAUCACAAAAUCAUUUUGUUGCUACUUCAUAAAUGUAACUUUGCUACUGUUGUGAAUCAUAAUGU